UUACGGUCAAAUCACGCUGAAAACACCGGUUCUCGUUCGAUCACCGAAGUUAAGCAUCGUAGAGCCAGGUCAGUACUUAGCUGCGGGACCGCUCAGGAACACGUGGUGCUAC